rnacentral:rRNA from 1 species
AUACGUAGGUGGCGAGCGUUGUCCGGAUUUACUGGGCGUAAAGGGCGUGCAGGCGGUUCGUUAAGUCCAGGGUGAAAGCUCCCGGCUCAACUGGGAGAGGUCCUUGGAUACUGGCGGACUUGAGGUGGAUAGAGGAGAGUGGAAUUCUCGGUGUAGUGGUGAUAUGCGUAGAUAUCGAGAGGAACACCAGUGGCGAAGGCGGCUCUCUGGGCCCUACCUGACGCUGAGACGCGAAAGCGUGGGGAGCGAACCGAAUUAGAAACCCGAGUAGUCC